CAAGCAUAUAUAUCUAUAUCUAUAUAUCUAUCUAUCUAUAUAUAUAUAGAUAGAUAGAUAUAGAUAUAUAUAUACGGU